GGAGUAGUCAAUGUUCAGAGUUUUUUCUCCCUUCUCUUCUAAAAUGGGGAAGUUCCCCUUUUAUAGAGAUGACUGGGUUACCUGUGAUGUGACGGGGCAAACGAUCUGUAGUACGAUUGGUCAUGCAGUAGAAAUCAAUGCUCGAUCGUGUGAAUCAAUGCCGUUACUGUAGGAGAUUAGGCCGAAGUUCUCAAGUCAUCAUGAAGUCAUACCAUCAUUCAUAGCCAAGCAGGUUUCCUGUAAGAGGCUUGAUGUCCGUAGACAGCAGAAGCCAUACGUUUUAAUUGUUGAGUAAGCUGAGUACCUGCAGGAGCCAUACGCUUUAAUUGUUGAGUAAGUUGAGUGCCUGCAGGAACCAUAUGCUUUGAUUGUUGACGAAAAUGAGGCAUAGUUUUUUGGUCGCACUGCGGGGCGAUGUGACCACAGCGCGAGUGACCACGACGCAAGUCGGGCGUUUCUAGGUCAGUAGGGCUGCUCGGGCGCUUCCGGGUCAGAGGGUCUGCUCGGCGCUUCCAGGUUGGAGGGUCUGCUCCGCGCCUCCAGGUCGGAGGGUCUGCUCGGCGCCUCCAGGUCGGAGGGUCUCGCAGUCGUGACGACUUAUAUUUUUCCCCAAAUAAUUAUUAUUCUAUAAACCAUGUGGUUCUUACCUUGCAAGCAUGCUGACUGGAGUGCCUCGAGUAAGUGGAUCAGGUGUGAAGCAGGAACAGAGUUUCAAGAAGGAAUGCCAUUUAAGAAGAAUCCAAGUGCAAUUAUUAUUAUUGUUAUUAUUUCACCCCAAGGUUAGUAAUCAGAAAGUGAUCCUAUGAGAGUGUUAAUUCGGCGUACUCAUGAUGCUGUGAACUAUCUUUGAUCAAACAAGAAUAAACUGGUGCUAGUUGGCAUACCCUUCAAUACUUUAAAGAAAAAAGAUGGCCGGUUUGUGGAAAUAACACUUGUAUAUUACAGCACUCAUCAUUAGUGCCUAGCUGUGUUGCUAAUGUGCAAUUGUUACCUUUUAAUACUGCAGACCAACGAGAAAAAGCGAAUCUUUACUGUUACCUUAAGUCACCGGACGCUUCAAAUUUUAUUCAUGAUCAACCAAGAAUUUAUGUAUUUCAAGAUUAAUCAUUAAUACCGAAGGAAAUAUCUCUAAGGUUUAAUACACAUACACCUAAGCUUCUUAUUCUUCGGAACUUCACUUCGUAGUCAAGCUUGCCCUUGAGACGCAGCUCUUGGGCAACCCAAUCAACUGGGAUACACCACCCUAGGCUUCGUACGAUCACUGCCGUCGAAGCCAUGCCCUUUGGGACUUCUCAACCCGUUCCAAUGGCAGCUCGAGGACUUCUAUAAAGUGCCGUUGGAGGAUCUCGAGCUCCUCCUCCAAUAUCUUGUAGUUAGUUCACACCGGCUGUC
rnacentral:lncRNA from 1 species